rnacentral:rRNA from 1 species
GACGAACGCUGGCGGCGUGCUUAACACAUGCAAGUCGAACGGAAAGGCCCUGCUUGCAGGGUACUCGAGUGGCGAACGGGUGAGUAACACGUGGGUGAUCUGCCCUUCACUUCGGGAUAAGCCUGGGAAACUGGGUCUAAUACCGGAUAGGAGCCAUUUUUAGUGUGAUGGUUGGAAAGUUUUUUCGGUGUUGGAUGAGCUCGCGGCCUAUCAGCUUGUUGGUGGGGUAAUGGCCUACCAAGGCGGCGACGGGUAGCCGGCCUGAGAGGGUGGACGGCCACAUUGGGACUGAGAUACGGCCCAGACUCCUACGGGAGGAAGAAGGGGGGAAAAUUGAACAAGGGGCGCAAGCCUGAUGCAGCGACGCCGCGUGGGGGAGGACGGCCUUAGGGUUGUAAACACAUUUCGCUAGGGACGAAGCUUUUUGUGACGGUACCUAGAUAAGAAGCACCGGCUAACUACGUG